ACCAGACAACAUCUGAACAAAUACAGAGUUACUACUAAGUAAACAAAAAAAAAGGGAAACCACGACCUGAAGUGGUCCUCUUCCUUUGAUUGCCAACCAAAAUCUUGUGCGUUGGUGACUUGUUCGCCUCACACUAAACAAAAACAGAAAAGGAAAAAGCCAAAAACACUCAAAGCCAAAGUUCCCACCAAAAAACACCAUUCCCCAAG
rnacentral:lncRNA from 1 species